AUGGAAUUAAACCGGAAAGUGUUAACAUUUAUUAAAUACUGAUGAUAAUAAUAAUAAUAAUAAUAAUAAGAAGAAGAAGAAGAAGAAGAAUAAGAAUAAGAAUAAAUUAAUUAAAAAUGAAUUAAAAUCCGAGUCGGUGUGCAGGCGGAAGGCGAGUCACUCCAGGCUGCUGCAGUCGUCGUCACUGUCGCUGCUAGUUGUAUCAUCCAGGAUGACCGGUGAAGGACUCGGAGGAGGAAGACUGAACUGCUGGGGACCUGGAAUGUAGAAGAUCAUCGUUAAGCGUACAAUUUGGUGACAUGGGUAAAGCUCCAUCAAACUGUAAAAGGUUCAGCACAUCCCUCUUGCCCCUCAAACGCUUCAAGAGAAAGAGCCAGUUGAAUUUCAGCGCGAAGUGGUUGGUGAGGAUGUGGCGAAGGAUUCUUCGAACCUCGUCACCAGGAUUGCAGCCCCCAAGCGCACUAAGGUGUGCUGCCUGCAGUAAGGGCCUGGAGGAGGAGGUUGUUCUGCCUCACCAAGGCCUUCAACUCCUCCACAGCACGCAGGAGUGCAUGAUCCCGUUCUACAGGACAGAAAAACAUCAUGACUGUCAUGUCAAGAGGUGCUCCUGGUUUGGGCUUUUUUCAGGUUCAUACGCGCUGCAUCAUAAUUGGCUGUUGAAGACAACAAUGAAGUCUCAUCUGGCCUAG
rnacentral:lncRNA from 1 species